GAUGGCCGCAACGCUGUUCCUGAGCUGGAAACUGUCAUAAAAUCCUUUCUGAGCGAUAUUAUGCACAUUUUCUGGUUCAAGACAUGUUCGGCCGACCCACAG
rnacentral:pre_miRNA from 1 species